rnacentral:rRNA from 1 species
UACGGAGGAUCCGAGCGUUAUCCGGAUUUAUUGGGUUUAAAGGGAGCGUAGGUGGAUUGUUAAGUCAGUUGUGAAAGUUUGCGGCUCAACCGUGGAAUUGCAGUUGAAACUGGAGGCCUUGAGUGCACACAGGGGUGCCGGAAUUCAUGGUGUAGCGGUGAAAUGCUUAGAUAUCACACAGAACACCGAUUGCGAAGGCAUCUCACGAAUCCGCGAUUGACGCUGAUGCACGAAAGCGUGGGUAUCAAACAGG